rnacentral:rRNA from 1 species
GGGGAGUGCAGUCGCAAGAUUAAAACUCAAAGGAAUAGACGGGGACCCGCACAAGUGGUGGAGCAUGUGGUUUAAUUCGAAGAUACGCGAAGAACCUUACCUAGCCUUGACAUAUAUUAGAACACUUUAGAGAUAGAGUGGUGCCUUCGGGAGCUUUUAUACAGGUGCUGCACGGCUGUCGUCAGCUCGUGUCGUGAGAUGUUGGGUUAAGUCCCGCAACGAGCGCAACCCUCGUCACUAGUUACUAACGGUUCGGCCGAGGACUCUAGUGAGACUGCCUUCGUAAGGAGGAGGAAGGUGAGGACGACGUCAAGUCAUCAUGGCCCUUACGGCUAGGGCAACACACGUGCUACAAUGGUUGGNACANUGAGACGCGAUACCGCGAGGUGGANCAAAUCUAUAAACCCAAUCUCAGUUCGGAUUGUAGUCUGCAACUCGACUACAUGAAGCUGGAAUCACUAGUAAUCGUAGAUCAGCUAUGCUACGGUGAAUACGUUCCCGGGUCUUGCACACUCUGCCCGU